GAUGAACGCUGGCGGCGUGCCUAAUACAUGCAAGUCGAGCGAACGGACGAGAAGCUUGCUUCUCUGAUGUUAGCGGCGGACGGGUGAGUAACACGUGGAUAACCUACCUAUAAGACUGGGAUAACUUCGGGAAACCGGAGCUAAUACCGGAUAAUAUUUUGAACCGCAUGGUUCAAAAGUGAAAGACGGUCUUGCUGUCACUUAUAGAUGGAUCCGCGCUGCAUUAGCUAGUUGGUAAGGUAACGGCUUACCAAGGCAACGAUGCAUAGCCGACCUGAGAGGGUGAUAGGCCACACUGGAACUGAGACACGGUCCAGACUCCUACGGGAGGCAGCAGUAGGGAAUCUUCCGCAAUGGGCGAAAGCCUGACGGAGCAACGCCGCGUGAGUGAUGAAGGUCUUCGGAUCGUAAAACUCUGUUAUUAGGGAAGAACAUAUGUGUAAGUAAAUGUGCACAUCUUGACGGUACCUAAUCGGAAAGCCACGGCUAACUACGUG
rnacentral:rRNA from 1 species